CAGUCAGACAGGGUAAAAUCAACAAGACGAGGUUUAAAUUCAGUCCGAGGGUAAAAUCAACAAGAUGAGGUUUAAAUUCAGUCAGACAGGGUAAAAUCAACAAGACGAGGUUUAAAUUCAGUCAGACAGGGUAAAAUCAACAAGAUGAGG